ensembl:lncRNA
UGAAUAUUCAGUCCUAACCCUGCUACAGGCUACUGAAUAUUCAAUCCUAACCCUGCUAUAGGCUACUGACUUUUCAGUCGUGACCCUGCUAUAGGCUACUGAAUAUUAUUCAGUCGUGACCCUGCUAUAGGCUACUGAAUAUUCAGUCCUGACCCUGCUAUAGGCUACUGAAUAUUCAGUCCUGACCCGCUAUAGGCUACUGAAUAUUCAGUCCUGACCCUGCUAUAGGCUACUGAAUAUUCAGUCCAUACCCUAACCCUGCUAUAGGCUACUGAAUAUUCAGUCCUGACCCUGCUAUAGGCUACUGAAUAUUCAGUCCUUACCCUAACCCUGCUACAGGCUAGUGAAUAUUCAGUCCUGACCCUGCUAUAUGCUACUGAAUAUUCUGUCCUGACCCUGCUAUAGGCUACUGAAUAUUCAGUCCUGACCCUGCAGCUGAUUAUAGUUACUACUUAAUAUAAUAUGAUAAUAAGACUGCAUUCAUGAUGAAUGUUCAGUUCAGUCAGUUCAAUCAGAAAUGACCUUUAAAAUGGCACAUAGCUGACAAAGCGCUGGGAUUGAAUCCUGGUCUCAGUCUCAUGCUUGGUUUGAGUAGGACUCAGAAACCCAUUUCCACCAGAUAAAAGAGAGAUAGUAAUACUAUGGAUGCAUUAGAGGUACAUGUCUUGUUAAAGUUAGACACCAGGAGGUAUUAAAUCCAUGGCAUGAUGUCUUGUCUGGAUCCUGCACACUACUGGCUGGUGGCUGGAAUUCUCCUAGAAUGUAGAACUCUAGCUGGUGUUCUCUAGAACUGUACUCUCAUUCUGUUCCUCUGGGUGUUCUGCUGUCCAGUCAUUCCAAAAUAGAAUCUUUACUGUCUGUUGAGAUGAUCCCUGCAGCUGCUUGGUUUUAACUUUAAUCAUCACAAACCAAUAAAAUCAUCACACUAAUGAACAA